rnacentral:rRNA from 1 species
CCUACGGGUGGCAGCAGUAGGGAAUUUUUCACAAUGGGCGAAAGCCUGAUGGAGCAACGCCGCGUGCAGGAUGAAGGCCUUCGGGUUGUAAACUGCUUUUAUAAGCGAGAAAUAUGAUGGUAACUUAUGAAUAAGGUUCGGCUAACUACGUGCCAGCAGCCGCGGUCAUACGUAGGAUCCGAGCAUUAUCCGGAGUGACUGGGUGUAAAGAGUUGCGUAGGUGGCAUAAUAAGUAGCUAGUGAAAUCUGGUGGCUCAACCAUUCAGACUAUUAGCUAAACUGUUAAGCUCGAGACCGUUAGGGGUAACUGGAAUUUCUAGUGUAGGAGUGAAAUCCGUAGAUAUUAGAAGGAACACCAAUAGCGUAGGCAGGUUGCUGGGACGGUUCUGACACUAAGGCACGAAAGCGUAGGGAGCAAACGGGAUUAGAUACCCCUGUAGUC